GGGGCUGUGGCGAAACUGGCAGACGCGCUAGAUUUAGGUUCUAGUACCGCAAGGUGUGAAGGUUCGACUCCUUUCAGCCCUA
rnacentral:tRNA from 1 species